rnacentral:rRNA from 1 species
GACGAACGCUGGCGGCGUGCUUAACACAUGCAAGUCGAACGGAAAGACCCUGCUUUUGUGGGGUGCUCGAGUGGCGAACGGGUGAGUAACACGUGAGUAACCUGCCCUUGACUUUGGGAUAACUUCAGGAAACUGGGGCUAAUACCGGAUAGGAGCUCCUGCUGCAUGGUGGGGGUUGGAAAGUUUCGGCGGUUGGGGAUGGACUCGCGGCUUAUCAGCUUGUUGGUGGGGUAGUGGCUUACCAAGGCUUUGACGGGUAGCCGGCCUGAGAGGGUGACCGGCCACAUGGGGACUGGGAUACGGCCCAGACUCCUACGGGAGGCAGCAGUGGGGAAUAUUGCACAAUGGGCGGAAGCCUGAUGCAGCAACGCCGCGUGCGGGAUGACGGCCUUCGGGUUGUAAACCGCUUUCGCCUGUGACGAAGCGUGAGUGACGGUAAUGGGUAAAGAAGCACCGGCUAACUACGUG